rnacentral:rRNA from 1 species
UGGGGGAUAUUGCACAAUGGGCGAAAGCCUGAUGCAGCGACGCCGCGUGGGGGAUGAAGGCCUUCGGGUUGUAAACUUCUUUUGCUCUGAACAAGGCAUGCUAAUGGGUGUGUUGAGUGUAGGGGUUGAUUAGCGCCGGCUAACUACGUGCCAGCAGCCGCGGUAAUACGUAGGGCGCGAGCGUUGUCCGGAAUUAUUGCGCGUAAAGGUCUUGUAGGUGGCUGGUUGCGUCUGUCGUGAAAGCUCAUGGCUUAACUGUGGGUUUGCGGUGGGUACGGGCUGGCUUGAGUGCAGUAGGGGAGGCUGGAAUUCCUGGUGUAGCGGUGGAAUGCGCAGAUAUCAGGAGGAAUACCGGUGGCGAAGGCGGGUCUCUGGGCUGUUACUGACACUGAGGAGCGAAAGAAUGGGGAGCGAACAGG